rnacentral:rRNA from 1 species
AUUAAAACUUUUAAUAACGGAUCUUUUAGUUCUAAUAUUGAUGAAGAACGUAGCGAAAUACGAUAAGUAAUAUAAAUUACAAAAUUUAGUAAAUCAUCGAAUCUUUGAACGUAUAUUGUACUCGCUAGUAUUUUAGCGAAUAUACCUAUUCGAACGUUAUUUCAACUAUUAAGCUCUAUUUGUAUUAGGAAUCUAUAACUAUUUACGGUCCUUUAAAAUCAAUAGCGGGUUCGCUAGUUAUACCGAGUAUAGUAAUUUUAUAUCGCUAUAGUUGUACGGUAGGUUCUUACUAUAAAACCCCCUAUUUCUAAAAUUAACCUCGGAUUAGGUAGGAAUACCCGCUGAAUUUAAGUAUAUUAAUAAGCGGAGGAAAAAAAAUUAAUAGGGAUUGCCUUAGUAAUAGCGAAUGAAGCGGUAAUAGUUUAAAUUUGAAAUUUAGCUUCGACCUAAAUUGUAAUUUAUAGAGGAAGCUUUUAGUGAGGCACCUUCUAAAUCCUUUAGAACAGAGCGUUAUAAAGAGUAAAAGCCUUAUAUAGUCGGAUGCUAAUCUAAUAUAAAGCUCCUUCGAUGAAUUAAAUAGUUUAGGAAUAUUAUUUAAAAUAGGAAGUAAAUUUCUUCUAAAAUUAAAUACCGGCUAGAGAUUGAUAGUAUAUAAAUAGAGUAAUUGAAAGAUGAAAAGUAUUUUAAAAAGAGGGUUAAAUAGUAUAUGAAAUUAUUGAAAGGGAAGUAUUUGUAAUUAGACUUGCGCCGUUCUAAUUAUUUAGUAUUCUUACUAGUAUAUUUAGGACGGUUUAGGCUAGUAUUAAUUUUAGUAGGGGGAUAAAGGUCUAAGGAACGUAGCUCCUCCGGGAGUAUUAUAGUCCCGGGUAUAAUACCUUCGCCGGGACUAAGGUUCGCGUAUUUAUAAGGAUAUUAGUAUAAUAGUUAUUAAUAACCUGUUUUGAAAUACGGAUUAAGGAAUUAAAGUUUUAUGCGAGUAUUUGGGUAUAAAAUCUAUAUAUGUAAUAAAAAUAAAUAUAAGUGAGAGCUUCGGUGUAUUAUCGACCGAUUUUAAUAUAUUCGGAUAGAUUUGAGUAAGAAUAUUAAACCUUGGACCUAAAAAAUAGUAAACUAUACUUAGAUAGGGUAAAGCUAGAGGAAACUCUAGUAGAGGCUCGUAGCGGUUUUAACGUAUAAAUCGAUUAUUAAAUUUAAGUAUGGGGGCGAAAGACUAAUUGAAUUAUUUAGUAGCUAAUUAUUACCGAAGUUUCCCUUAGGAUAGUAGUAUUAUUCUUUAGUUUUAUAAGGUAAAGCGAAUGAUUAGGGACUCGGGGGCGCUUUUUAACCUUCAUCUAUUCUUAAAUUUUAAAUAUAUAAGAAACCCUUAUUAUUUAAUUGAAUGUAGGUAUUUAAAUAUAUUAAUAUUAGUAGGCUAUUUUUGGUAAGUAGAACUAGCGAUGCGGAAUAAACUAAACGCGGGGUUAAAGUGCUAGAGUAGACGCUUAUUAAAUACUAUAAAAGGUAUUAGUAUAUUUUAAUAGUAGGACGGUGGCUAUAGAAGUCGGAAUCCGUUAAGGACUAUAUAAUAAUUUACUUACUAAAUAUACUAGCCUUGAAAAUAGAUAGCGCUUAAGUAUCCUACCUAUACUCCGCCCUUAGGGUAGAAAUAAUGCCCUAAGGAGUAGGCGGCUAUGGAGGUUAGUAAUAAAGUUUAGGGCGUGAGCCCGGGUCGAACGGCCUCUAGUAUAGAUCUUAGUAGUAGUAGCAAAUAUUUUAAUAAGAAUUUGAAGGACCGAAGUGGGGAAAGGUUCUAUAUAAAUAGCGGUUGGAUAUAGGUUAGUCGAUUCUAAGCUAUAGGGAAGUUCUAUUUUAAAGGGGUACUUAUACCCCGUAUAGCGAAAGGGAAGCCGGUUAAUAUUCCGGUACUUAGAUAUAGGUUUUGUAUAGUAAUGCAACUAAAUGUAGAGACGAUAGCGGAGGCCCCGGGUAGAAUUCUCUUUUCUUCUUAACGGUCUAUUACUUUAAAAAUAAUUUAUUUAGAGAUAGGGUUUAAUGGCCGGAAGAGCCCGAUACUUCUAUUAGGUCCGGUACGCUCUCAAUGUCCUUUAAAAAUCCGCGGGAGGGAAUAAUUCUUACGCUAGGUCGUACUUAUAACUGUAGCAGGUCUCUAAGGUAAAUAGCCUCUAGUUAAUAGAAUAAUAUAGAUAAAGGAAAUUGGUAAAAUAGAUCUGUAACUUUAGGAAAAGGAUUGGUUCUAAGGGUUGGGUACGUUGGGCUUUAGGCAAACGCCUUAGGAGUAGAUCGCUACUAGCCGGGUAACUGGCCGGCGGCUUUUAGUAUCUGGGUAUAGAAGCUUUUAAUAGACUUCGGUCGUCCGGCGUAUAUUUAAUAACUAACUUAGAAUUAAUACGGAUAGGGGGAAUUUAAUUAUCUAAUUAAAAUAUAGUAUUAUAAUGGCUAAAAAGUGGUAUUAACGUAAUGUGAUUUUUGCCUAGUGCUUUGAAUGUUAAAGUGAAGAAAUUCAACUAAGCGCGGGUAAAUAGUGGGAGUAACUAUAAUUCUUUUAAGGUAGUUAAAUGCUUCGUUAUUUAAUUAGUAAUGCGUAUAAAUAGAUUAAUAAGAUUCCUACUAUCCCUAUCUAUUAUUUAGCGAAAUUAUAAUUAAGGGAACGGGUUUGGUAGAAUUAGCGGGGAAAGAAGACCCUAUUGAAUUUAAUUCUAGUUUAAUAUUGUAAAAAGAUAUAGGAGGUGUAGAAUAGGUGGGAGCUUCGGCGCCGGUGAAAUACUACUACUCCUAUUGUUUUUUUACUUAUUUAAUUAAGUAGGGCUGGAUUUUCGUUUAAUUUCUAAUUUUAAGGUCCUUCGCGGGCCGACCCAAGUUAAAGAUAUUAUUAGGUAGGGAGUUUGGCUAGGGCGGUACAUUUAUUAAACUAUAACGUAGGUGUCCUAAGGGGGGCUUAUAGAGAAUAGAAAUCUCUAGUAGAAUAAAAGGGUAAAAGUCCCUUUAAUUUUGAUUUUCAAUGUGAAUACAAACUAUAAAAGUAUAGCCUAUCGAUCCUUUAGUCCCUCGAAAUUUAAGGCUAGAGGUGCCAGAAAAAUUACUAUAGGGAUAAUUAGUUUGUAGUGGCUAAACGUUUAUAGCGACGUCGCUUUUUAAUCCUUCAAUAUCGGCUCUUCCUAUUAUACCGAAGUAGAAUUCGGUAAGCGUUAGAUUGUUUACUUAUUAAUAGGGAACGUGAGUUGGGUUUAGACUGUUGUAAGAUAGGUUAGUUUUACCCUACUAAUAACCUUAUUGUAAUAGUAAUUAAAUUUAGUACGAGAGGAACUGCUUAUUUAAAUAAUUAGUUUUUACGGUUAUCCAACCGGGUAGUACCGCGACGCUACUAUCUGUUAAAUAAUGGCUAAACGCCUCUAAAUUAAAAUCUAUACCAGAACACAAUAAUACCUCCAGCAUAUUAUAAACGUAUAAGAAUAAACUCCGGCCUCGUAUUUUAGCAAGCGAUUCCUCCGUUAGCCUUAAAGUAGCCAGCGGUAAUUCGCGUAUUGU